CACAAUUUAAACUGAUUUUUUUCCGUGGAGUUUUUGUGGCGUUGAAGCUUUACUUCUUCUCUCAAUUCAAAUUCUUUAGUCCAACAGGCCUGGGUAACCCAUUGAAUCUCCUUCAUUCUGUGGAUAGGAGCUUCUAACUGUUUUCCUUGAACGAGGAAUUCCCAGUAAGCACGAGUCAUAAGCUCCUGUUUAUUACAUCCCUG
rfam:Stegodyphus mimosarum contig12252, whole genome shotgun sequence.